GUUUCCGUAGUGUAGUGGUUAUCACGUUUCCCUCACAUGCGAAUGGUCCACGGUUCGAUACCGGGCGGAAACA
rnacentral:tRNA from 1 species